rnacentral:rRNA from 1 species
GCACACUGUUGGUUAUGUGUGCCCAAGCAUUGAGGCAGACAAAGGAGGCAAAUCCGCUUUGAUAAUGCUGGGAUGUGAUGGGGAGCGAACUUUAGUAGCGAAGUAGCUGAUUGCACACUGUCAAGAAAAGUCUCCAACCAGGUUAAAGAUUACCGUACCGCAAACCGCCCCAGGUGGGGGAGGAGAGUAUCCUAAGGCCAGCGAGAGAACUGUUGUUAAGGCACUCGGCAAAAUGACCCCGUAACUUCGGGAUAAGGGGUGCCACCAUCAGGUGGCCGCAGCGAAUAGGCCCAAGCGACUAUUUACCCAACACAUCGGUUACUGCCAAGUCGCCAGCCUACGGCUAGGAGUUGACGCUUGCCCGGUGCUGGCAGGACUAGGGCAGCUGUGGGCGCACUCUCAGUAGGGUAGUGCCACCGCAGUACUCGGUGGCCGUCAC